GCAUAACGCGAAGAACCUUACCCACCUUUGACAUGUACGGAAGUUACCAGAGAUGGUUUCGUGCUCGAAAGAGAACCGUAACACAGGUGCUGCAUGGCUGUCGUCAGCUCGUGUCGUGAGAUGUUGGGUUAAGUCCCGCAACGAGCGCAACCCUUGCCAUUAGUUGCUACAUUCAGUUGGGCACUCUAAUGGGACUGCCGGUGACAAACCGGAGGAAGGUGGGGAUGACGUCAAGUCCUCAUGGCCCUUAUAGGCGGGGCUACACACGUCAUACAAUGGCUGGUACAGAGGGUUGCCAACCCGCGAGGGGGAGCCAAUCCCAUAAAGCCAGUCGUAGUCCGGAUCGCAGUCUGCAACUCGACUGCGUGAAGUCGGAAUCGCUAGUAAUCGCGGAUCAGAAUGUCGCGGUGAAUACGUUCCCGGGUCUUGUACACACCG
rnacentral:rRNA from 1 species